rnacentral:rRNA from 1 species
UACGUAGGGUGCGAGCGUUAAUCGGAAUUACUGGGCGUAAAGCGUGCGCAGGCGGUUCGUUGUGUCUGGUGUGAAAGCCCCGGGCUUAACCUGGGAACUGCAUUGGAAACUGGCGAGCUGGAGUGUGGCAGAGGGGGGUGGAAUUCCGCGUGUAGCAGUGAAAUGCGUAGAGAUGCGGAGGAACACCGAUGGCGAAGGCAGCCCCCUGGGCCAACACUGACGCUCAGGCACGAAAGCGUGGGGAG